rnacentral:rRNA from 1 species
GACGAACGCUGGCGGCGUGCUUAACACAUGCAAGUCGAACGAGUGGCGAACGGGUGAGUAACACGUGGGUGAUCUGCCUUGCACUUCGGGAUAAGCUUGGGAAACUGGGUCUAAUACCGGAUAGUGCAAGAUGAGCUCGCGGCCUAUCCGCUUGUUGGUGGGGUAAUGGCUACCAAGGCGCGAAGGGUAGCCGGCCUGAGCGGGUGUACGGGAACAAUGGGACUGGGAUACGGGCCAGAAUCCUACGGGAGGCAGCAGUGGGGAAUAGUGCACAAUGGGCGGAAGCAUGAUGCAGAGACGCAGCGUGGGGGAUGAAGGCCUUCGGGUUGUAAACUCCUAUCGACAGGGAAGCGGUAACUGUAUAAGAAGCACCGGCGAACUACGUGCCAGCAGCCGCGGUAAUAC